AAAGGAGGAAAUGAGCAUGCUAGGCCCAUAUUCUAUUCCUGAGCACCUCGCCCCUUUUUGCUGGUAUCCAUAGGGACUUACAUUCCAAAGAAUCCCUCAUUACAGGUUUUCUGGGAAAGUCCACGAAAGUAAAGCCCGUCUUCUCACUCUGGGAAGAAGAAUUGUUUGGUUUAGGCAGUAAGAAUCAAUUUCUGGAGAGAACAGAUGUGAAACUGGCUCCAAAGAACUGUGGAGAUGCAGAAGGUCAUUAACCCCAAGAUGUUCAUAGCCUCCUAUAAUAAGCAGUGGCUCUUUCUCCAGAAGACUGAUAUUUUUCCCCUGUAUCAUCUCAUGUUUGAGAAUUGGCAGAAAUGAGUGUUGGUCAUAAAAUCUUCCUGGUGUCUGGAGAGAAAUCUGAUUUCUUGAUGUUCACGAUCCAACAAUUCUCCAAAAUCCACAAUUUAUAGGUACUUUGGAGAAUGGGAGUUGGUUCGCCACCACUGAUCUAGGCUGUUCUGACUUUUAGGAAAUGUUGGGCGCAGUGGUUAUGUUAGUGUAGGUAGUGUUAACAAGCUCCGGACAGCCCAGACAGACUACCAGUAGAGAGGAUCAUGUGAUCCACCGACAAGAAUGAGCAGCUCCCAUAGUUUUGUUGUCCACCACCUAGACACAGGU